rnacentral:tRNA from 1 species
UGCAUCGGCCAGGAAUCGAACCUGGGCCGCCCGCGUGGCAGGCGAGCAUUCUACCACUGAACCACCGAUGG